rnacentral:rRNA from 1 species
GUGCCAGCCGCCGCGGUAAUACGGAGGGUGCGAGCGUUAAUCGGAAUUACUGGGCGUAAAGCGCGCGUAGGCGGCUUGGUAAGUCGGAUGUGAAAGCCCCGGGCUUAACCUGGGAACUGCAUUCGAUACUGCCUGGCUGGAGUGUGGUAGAGGAGAGCGGAAUUCCCGGUGUAGCGGUGAAAUGCGUAGAUAUCGGGAGGAACAUCAGUGGCGAAGGCGGCUCUCUGGACCAACACUGACGCUGAGGCGCGAAAGCGUGGGUAGCAAACAGGAUUAGAAACCCCAGUAGUCC